UACAGAGAGUGCAAACGUUGUUCGGAAUUACUGGGCUUGAAGCGCACGUAGGCGGCGUUGUAAGUGUCGGGUGAAAUCCCACGGCUCACCCGUGGAACUGCCCGGCAUACUGCGAUGCUAGAGUGUGGUAGGGGAGAGCGGAACUCCUGGUGGAGCGGUGAAAUGCGUAGAUAUCAAGAGGAACACCUGCGGCGAAGGCGGGUUGCUGGGCCGACACUGACGCUGAGGCGCGAAAGCCAGGGGAGCGAACGGG
rnacentral:rRNA from 1 species